CAAGAGCUGAAUAUAGAUGUUCCGUGGGGGAAGAAUCCCUUUGGUUUACCCAGUCAGCCUGAGGUGUGGGCUUCGCUUCACUUUAGCCUUCCUCAAAGCUCACCAGGUAAGGGCGGCUGGCCUUUCCAGCUUGCACACUUACCAGCUAGAAAUGAGCUUUCCUGAGGUCUUUUGGGAGGCAAGAACUGCAUAGUCGAGGUCUUCGUUAAGCUAUUCCAAUUAUCUGGAUCUAAGUGUUUUGUGACCCACUGGAGUGAUACAGAUUCCUCUUUUGCUCACUCUACUAGGAGAAAUGCACCAUGGAAUCCCUGUGUGUGCAUCCCUAACUACCAGCCAGGUGACCCACUGUCCCUGCUGCAGGCAGAACCCCUUGGAGGGGAACGGAGCAGGAGGAGAAGGUGCUGGAAAUGAACUGUCACAUCUUCCUCUCUGCAUUUCUGCUCCUCUGCCAGCCCUCUGCUGACCACCCCGGCAGGAGCAAGGCCUUUGUCGCUCUUCCUCUUGGGCAGAUGGUAUUUGCAUACUGACAUAUUGUAAAUCUAGUCACCCAGGUAACAGGGCUCCAGUUAGCAACAGCGGAAUGAAGGUCAGCCCGGUUCCUUCUAAAAUUAGAAGUCAGACAAAUCUGAUUUUUAACUGUUCAAGAACAAGCCAGAAGAUCUGAUGAUGGGAACCAUAUCAGGGCCCUCCACUGGUCAACACUCAGGCCCUCCAGUGGACACACCAAACCGCAUUUUGGGAGAAAACAGGCUGAGAGGCUGCUCCAGUUAAUGUAGUACUCGUGCUUGUGCAGCUCUGGCCGCAAACUCCAGCGUGAUCCUGCACCCUGUUUCCAAUGUUUAGUGGCGACAUAGGUACCAAGAAAAAUUCUUCUACCAUAAGCAAGCAGCAGGGCAAGUGUGAUAAGGAAUGUCAAAUGAGGUCCAGAGGCACAGCAGAGGGGUCAAAAAGGAGGCACGGAAGCCUGGGAACCCCGGUGCAGAAAGGGCAGCAGCAAUCUGGUUCUACAGGACACCAGUUAUUUCCUUCUCCAGAAAAGCAGGAAAUCUAGAUUUUUUUUUUAAUGUUUAAUAUUCCAACUUCUAAAUAUCAGCUCAAGUGGAAAAAAUACAAAAUAAAACACUACAAUACUCAGUAAACAUGAGAAAUCUGUGGACUGCAUAUAACCAUUCAGCUUGUAACCUCUGAUGAUGUGAAAUCAGUUACAAUAAAGAGAGUGAACAGAUUGAAAACUAGGGUGACUAUUUAAAUUCUU